GGGGUUAUAGCUCAGUUGGAAGAGCGCCUGCCUUGCAAGCAGGAGGUCAGCGGUUCGAUCCCGCUUGGCUCCACCA
rnacentral:tRNA from 1 species